rnacentral:rRNA from 1 species
CCUACGGGGGGCAGCAGUCGAGAAUCAUUCACAAUGGGGGAAACCCUGAUGGUGCGACGCCGCGUGGGGGAAUGAAGGUCUUCGGAUUGUAAACCCCUGUCAUGUGGGAGCAAAUUAAAAAGAUCGUACCACAAGAGGAAGAGACGGCUAACUCUGUGCCAGCAGCCGCGGUAAUACAGAGGUCUCAAGCGUUGUUCGGAAUCACUGGGCGUAAAGCGUGCGUAGGCUGUUUCGUAAGUCGUGUGUGAAAGGUGCGGGCUCAACCCGCGGACGGCACAUGAUACUGCGAGACUAGAGUAAUGGAGGGGGAACCGGAAUUCUCGGUGUAGCAGUGAAAUGCGUAGAUAUCGAGAGGAACACUCGUGGCGAAGGCGGGUUCCUGGACAUUAACUGACGCUGAGGCACGAAGGCCAGGGGAGCGAAAGGGAUUAGAUACCCUUGUAGUC